rnacentral:rRNA from 1 species
GGCGUGCCUAAUACAUGCAAGUCGAGCGGACUGAUUAGAAGCUUGCUUCUAUGACGUUAGCGGCGGACGGGUGAGUAACACGUGGGCAACCUGCCUGUAAGACUGGGAUAACUUCGGGAAACCGAAGCUAAUACCGGAUAGGAUCUUCUCCUUCAUGGGAGAUGAUUGAAAGAUGGUUUCGGCUAUCACUUACAGAUGGGCCCGCGGUGCAUUAGCUAGUUGGUGAGGUAACGGCUCACCAAGGCAACGAUGCAUAGCCGACCUGAGAGGGUGAUCGGCCACACUGGGACUGAGACACGGCCCAGACUCCUACGGGAGGCAGCAGUAGGGAAUCUUCCGCAAUGGACGAAAGUCUGACGGAGCAACGCCGCGUGAGUGAUGAAGGCUUUCGGGUCGUAAAACUCUGUUGUUAGGGAAGAACAAGUACGAGAGUAACUGCUCGUACCUUGACGGUACCUAACCAGAAAGCCACGGCUAACUACGUGCCAGCAGCCGCGGUAAUACGUAGGUGGCAAGCGUUAUCCGGAAUUAUUGGGCGUAAAGCGCGCGCAGGCGGUUUUUAAGUCUGAUGUGAAAGCCCACGGCUCAACCGUGGAGGGUCAUUGGAAACUGGGGAACUUGAGUGCAGAAGAGAAAAGCGGAAUUCCACGUGUAGCGGUGAAAUGCGUAGAGAUG